ACACAAUUAAUCACGAUUCGUCAACAAGCAUUCACUAGAAAUGCUCACAAAAAAUGUUUUAGUAUUUUAAUCACUUCAAAAGGUAAAUUAUAAUAAAUAAUUUAUUUAUUGUAGAUUUCACAGUUGAAGUAUGGUGUUUGGAUUUGGGAAAAAAAUGUCAGAUAUCAAUAAAAGUUUCUUAGAUUUUUUGUUUGUACACAACCCUAGAAAAACCGUCAUCGAUCAUAUUUUCAAUUUUCCUACUUUCCGACUGAUUUCAUGGACAUCAUGGAUUUUUUUUAUAUUUUGAAAAGAAUUUAUAAAUUUGGUGGACAUA